rnacentral:rRNA from 1 species
AACGAACGCUGGCGGCAUGCCUAACACAUGCAAGUCGAACGAGACCUUCGGGUCUAGUGGCGCACGGGUGCGUAACGCGUGGGAACCUGCCCUUAGGUUCGGAAUAACUCCCCGAAAGGGGUGCUAAUACCGGAUAAUUUCUUCGGACCAAAGAUUUAUCGCCUUUGGAUGGGCCCGCGUUGGAUUAGCUAGUUGGUAGGGUAAAAGCCUACCAAGGCGACGAUCCAUAGCUGGUCUGAGAGGAUGAUCAGCCACACUGGGACUGAGACACGGCCCAGACUCCUACGGGAGGCAGCAGUGGGGAAUAUUGGACAAUGGGCGAAAGCCUGAUCCAGCAAUGCCGCGUGAGUGAUGAAGGCCUUAGGGUUGUAAAGCUCUUUUACCCGGGAUGAUAAUGACAGUACCGGGAGAAUAAGCACCGGCUAACUCCAUG